rnacentral:rRNA from 1 species
CCUACGGGUGGCAGCAGUGGGGAAUAUUGGGCAAUGGGCGCAAGCCUGACCCAGCAACGCCGCGUGAAGGAAGAAGGCUUUCGGGUUGUAAACUUCUUUUGUCAGGGACGAAGCAAGUGACGGUACCUGACGAAUAAGCCACGGCUAACUACGUGCCAGCAGCCGCGGUAAUACGUAGGUGGCAAGCGUUAUCCGGAUUUACUGGGUGUAAAGGGCGUGUAGGCGGGACUGCAAGUCAGAUGUGAAAACCACGGGCUCAACCUGUGGCCUGCAUUUGAAACUGUAGUUCUUGAGUAUCGGAGAGGCAGGCGGAAUUCCUAGUGUAGCGGUGAAAUGCGUAGAUAUUAGGAGGAACACCAGUGGCGAAGGCGGCCUGCUGGACGACAACUGACGGUGAGGCGCGAAAGCGUGGGGAGCAAACAGGAUUAGAUACCCUUGUAGUC